GAACAUCCCCUUUGCACGUUGGAAAAUUGGUGCCUGUAGCUCCAGCCCGGAGUCGGUGCUUACACAGGGAGCCACAGAUUGGCCACCCCUGCUGUAUGCAGUUGCUGUUCAACAGUUUUCCCAUGGCACCUGGGCUCACAUAGGCUUUAACACGGGUGUGUAGGCUAGAGAAGAGCUGUGUUGGCUCAUUUUAAGACAUUCUCUUCCUCUGCAAAAAGAAAAGGAGUACUUGUGGCACCUUAGAGACUAACAAAUUU